rnacentral:rRNA from 1 species
GACGAACGCUGGCGGCGUGCCUAAUACAUGCAAGUAGGACGCAGUUGCGAACGGGUGAGUAACGCGUAGGUAACUACCUAUUAGAGGGGGAUAACUAUUGGCAACGAUAGCUAAUACCGCAUACUAGUAGAUGGACCUGCGGUUUAUUAGCUAGUAGGUCGGGUAAUGGCCUACCAAGGCAACGAUACAUAACCGAACUGAGAGGGGGAUCGGGCACACUGGGACGUGUAAAAGGCCCAGACUCCUACGGGAGGCAGCAGUAGGGAAACUUCGGCAAUGGGGGGAACCCUGGCCCGGCAACGCCGCGGGAGUGAAGAAGGUUUUCGGAUCGUAAAGCUCUGUUGUUAAGGAAGCGGUACUUAACCAGAAAGGGACGGCUAACUACGUGCCAGCAGCCGCGGUAAUUC